UGUCCAGCAGCCUCGGGGGCUGCUGGACUCACCUGGAGAUGGCUUCUUUUCCAUUUUCCAUUCUGCACGCUUACCAGGCUCCAGGGGGCACAGCUUUCCUUGUCCUCCUGGCCCGGCCCUGCCACUUCCUAGCCACCUCCCUAGCCUGGGGUCCUGGAGGGGCUUUCAGCCCUCUCUAGGCUGUGUUGCCCCAGCUCCUGCUGCCAGCCCGCUGGCUAAUUCUGAUUAUUUCUCUUUCUCUGCGCUCUCUUGGGUGCCUUUAUUCCUGACCGUGCAUUUUCUCUGGACUCAGGAUUUAAAAAAAAAAAAAAAAAACCACAUUGCUAAUAUCCUUGUCAGCCUUUUCCUGAAUCAUUGCUGCACAGCUCCAGAAAGGCACCGGCCAGUGCUUACUGACCAGCAGAUGCUGUCCCUGGGCCUUUCUUUCCUUUGAGUCCUGGGACUCCUUGUCUGACUUUUUUUUUUUGCACCCGCACCCCGUCAUUCUUCCCCUACCCCAAAGUCAAGACUCAGGCCUCUGAGAAAUGUCCAGCCUGAAGAUGCAGAUGGGCCAAGAACCGAGGAUGUAGCUGAGGCCUUCAAUUUCACAGCCCUGCAGCCACCUCUGUUGGAGGCCUGCCUUCAUCCCCAGGAUGAAACAUGAGGCUGAUCUAGAAGACAGAAGACUGGAGAAUUUUCCAUGGCUCCCCGGGUGGGGGUGGGGUUCUCUGAGAAGUUUCCUGGUCCAAGAGUGGCUUCUUGAGAGUCGGAAGAACAUCAGAUCUGGUUUCUGCUGCCAAGGAAUCAAUAUGUUGACAGAGUCGUUCCCUGCGUGUGUCCGUUUAAACACCCAUCCCUGUGUGGGAUUCGGGCUGACCGGCUCCGUUUGCCAAAUGCAAAUGCAUUAACCUUCCAAUUGGGUAAUCUAAUAAAAAGGA